AUGAACGCUGGCGGCGUGCCUAAUACAUGCAAGUCGAACGGUACUCUUUCGGGAGUACAGUGGCGAACGGGUGAGUAAUACAUAAGGAACCUGCCCUCGGGACCGGGAUAGCUGAUGGAAACGUCAGGUAAUGGCGGAUGUGAGUCAUUAUGGCAUCAUGAUGACUUGAAAGGAUGCAGCAAUGCAUCGCGCGGGGAUGGCCUUAUGGCGCAUUAGCCAGUUGGCGGGUAACGGCCCACCAAAGCGAUGAUGCGUAGCCGAUCUGAGAGGACGACCGGCCACAUUGGGACUGAGACACGGCCCAGACUCCUACGGGAGGCAGCAGUAGGGAAUUUUCGGCAAUGGGCGCAAGCCUGACCGAGCAACGCCGCGUGAGUGUUAAGGCCUUCGGGUUGUAAAGCUCUGUUGCCGGGGACGAACGGUACUUAUAGGAAAUGAUAAGUAAGUGACGGUACCCGGCGAGAAAGCCACGGCUAACUACGUG
rnacentral:rRNA from 1 species